AUUGAACGCUGGCGGCAUGCCUUACACAUGCAAGUCGAACGGCAGCACGGGUGCUUGCACCUGGUGGCGAGUGGCGAACGGGUGAGUAAUACAUCGGAACAUGUCCUGUAGUGGGGGAUAGCCCGGCGAAAGCCGGAUUAAUACCGCAUACGAUCUACGGAUGAAAGCGGGGGACCUUCGGGCCUCGCGCUAUAGGGUUGGCCGAUGGCUGAUUAGCUAGUUGGUGGGGUAAAGGCCUACCAAGGCGACGAUCAGUAGCUGGUCUGAGAGGACGACCAGCCACACUGGGACUGAGACACGGCCCAGACUCCUACGGGAGGCAGCAGUGGGGAAUUUUGGACAAUGGGCGAAAGCCUGAUCCAGCAAUGCCGCGUGUGUGAAGAAGGCCUUCGGGUUGUAAAGCACUUUUGUCCGGAAAGAAAUCCUUGGCUCUAAUACAGUCGGGGGAUGACGGUACCGGAAGAAUAAGCACCGGCUAACUACGUGCCAGCAGCCGCGGUAAUACGUAGGGUGCGAGCGUUAAUCGGAAUUACUGGGCGUAAAGCGUGCGCAGGCGGUUUGCUAAGACCGAUGUGAAAUCCCCGGGCUCAACCUGGGAACUGCAUUGGUGACUGGCAGGCUAGAGUAUGGCAGAGGGGGGUAGAAUUCCACGUGUAGCAGUGAAAUGCGUAGAGAUGUGGAGGAAUACCGAUGGCGAAGGCAGCCCCCUGGGCCAAUACUGACGCUCAUGCACGAAAGCGUGGGGAGCAAACAGGAUUAGAUACCCUGGUAGUCCACGCCCUAAACGAUGUCAACUAGUUGUUGGGGAUUCAUUUCCUUAGUAACGUAGCUAACGCGUGAAGUUGACCGCCUGGGGAGUACGGUCGCAAGAUUAAAACUCAAAGGAAUUGACGGGGACCCGCACAAGCGGUGGAUGAUGUGGGUUAAUUCGAUGCAACGCGAAAAACCUUACCUACCCUUGACAUGGUCGGAAUCCCGCUGAGAGGUGGGAGUGCUCGAAAGAGAACCGGCGCACAGGUGCUGCAUGGCUGUCGUCAGCUCGUGUCGUGAGAUGUUGGGUUAAGUCCCGCAACGAGCGCAACCCUUGUCCUUAGUUGCUACGCAAGAGCACUCUAAGGAGACUGCCGGUGACAAACCGGAGGAAGGUGGGGAUGACGUCAAGUCCUCAUGGCCCUUAUGGGUAGGGCUUCACACGUCAUACAAUAGUCGGAACAGAGGGUUGCCAACCCGCGAGGGGGAGCUAAUCCCAGAAAACCGAUCGUAGUCCGGAUUGCACUCUGCAACUCGAGUGCAUGAAGCUGGAAUCGCUAGUAAUCGCGGAUCAGCAUGCCGCGGUGAAUAAGUUCCCGGGUCU
rnacentral:rRNA from 1 species